UGACUAAAACGACUACGCGCGUGUUUAACCGNCUAAGCAUUUAGGCGGUUGGUUUAAANUCUAACACGUGGCCGGUCAGUUUUACNAAGCCUAAUACAUGCAGUCGAGCGAAUGGAUGAGAGCCUGCUCUCAAGAAGUAGCGGCGGACGGGUGAGUAACACGUGGGUAACCUGCCCAUAACUUGGGAUAAACUCCUAGCGGNAAAACGCGGGAGCAUAAAUACCAGUAGAUAACAUUUAUUGAACUGCCAAUUGGAUUAUCGAACAAAUUUGAAAGGUGCUGGGGCAUUCGUAGCUUGGUCACUUAUUGGAUUGGGAACCCCGACCGUUCCGCAUUNAAAGCCUAAGAGAUAUUAGAGUUAGAAAGAGUUAAACCGAGCUUCACCCCAAAGGGGCCCAANACCUGGAAAUUAGCCGUUAAAAGACCAUGACACCCNUUAAGCAGANAAGGGGUGAUAGGAAUACCGGUAGACCCCAAACCACACCGUUAGGGAGAAAACCUUCGGAAAGAACGAACCGAGAGACCGCGAANAAACCCUAUACGCCGUAAACCAGGNGGCAAGANGGCCAACGCACGAANGUGAACGGAGUGGAACAUCAAUUAUUCACCCGGGGCGCGAAAAUAUAGAGGAACCCGGAACGAACAGGUUCUUANGGAACCGGAGGGGAAAGGACCAAACACCAGACCCAGACAGUUUAGAACAAAGAUUAGGAACUAGAAAAAANGGAGGCGCNUNAUAANACCGGAGGGGCUNCCNCGAAAAAGAAAAAACGAACCGNUCCGUUUAGUAUGAGUAUUACAANGAGGANGGGANAAAGGAAAAACCCAAAAAGGUUUAAGGCGUAAAAGGUUUAUUAGACGAACACUAAAAAAACGGGACCGCCAGANGGCACAACNCCGUNUAUAGGGAAACCCGAGAUGGAUAAACCCCCUAUAAACAACCCAAAAAGAAACAAAACAGCNCCAACACGGGAGGACGUAAAAAAACCGUAAAAACCGGUUAAAGCCCCCAAAGAACCGACANAGCCCCGAGGCAAGGNGGAACAAAAAAACCAGUAAAAAGANGGUAAGGNCCAACACACGCCCCGGUUAUUAACUGCACGCGGGGGCAACGCAUUACAUNUCUUAGAGGGCCCGGUUUAAAAAAAAGGCCAGACCCGACCCGGACCGAAGAGGUUAGNGAUAUGUUCUCCUCUAAAAAAGGUUCCCUAUAGGANAUAAGUUUUGAAAAAAAUGNCCCCCCAACGAGAGGGGUAUACACCAACACCCCCGGUUAGGGACAACGGGGNGUCCGCNUUUUCGAGGCANAACCGCUUGGGGGAGCAAACACCUUUUGGAAGUUUUACGUCNCACAAAACCACUGGGAAACACNUGUUGGCGNAAUAUUUCCCGUUAAGUUNUAUANCCNGGCGANCGAAACCANUCNGCUUAAAACAAANGCUAUUGGGANGGGAACGCACCCGCUAUUNUG
rnacentral:rRNA from 1 species